ACUAGGGAUCGACCGAUAUUGAUUUUUUAGAGCCGAUACCGAUACCGAUAUUCUGUGAACUUUCAGGCCGAUAGCCGAUAUAAUUUGCCGAUAUUCUGUACAUUUACCAUUUUGGAAAAUAAAAACUAUUUCUAAAGGUAAAUGCACAAAAUAUACAUGCCACGUGUAGUGGAUGCAGUGUGACAGGGGAGCUGUGUGUGUGUGUGUGCAGUGGAUGCAGUGUGUGUCUUUGUGUAGUGUGUGUGUAGUGGAUGCAGUGUGUUAAUUCCUGCUUGGUUCACUGCUGCCCACCUUUAGUUUAUUUAGUGAGCGCCUAACUCCUCUUUGUUGUGUCUUUGUGUAGUGUGUGUGUAGUGGAUGCAGUGUGUGUUUGUGUAGUGUGUGGGUUGUGGAUGCAGUGUGUGUUUGUGUAGUGUGUGUGGAGGAUGCAAUGUGUGUUUGUGUAGUGGAUGCAGUGUGUAUUUGUUUAGUGUGUGUAGUGGAUGCAGUUUGUAUUUGUUUAGUGUGUGUAGUGGAUGCAGUGUGUAUUAGUGUAGUGUGUAUAUAAUGAAAGCAGAGUGUUUGUGUAGUGUGUGGGUAGUGUGCGUAAAGUGAAUGCUGUAUAUACUAAAUGCAAAGUGUGUGUGUAUAUAAUGAAUGCAGAGUGUGUGUGUAUUUGUGUAGUGUGUGUAUAGUGAAUGUAGUGUGUGUUUGUAUAGUGUGUGUAUAUAAUGCAGUGUGUUUG